GAUGAACGCUGGCGGCGUGCCUAAUACAUGCAAGUAGAACGCUGAAGGAGGAGCUUGCUCUUCUGGAUGAGUUGCGAACGGGUGAGUAACGCGUAGGUAACCUGCCUGGUAGCGGGGGAUAACUAUUGGAAACGAUAGCUAAUACCGCAUGACAACAGUUAUUGCAUGAUAACUGUUUAAAAGGGGCAACUGCUCCACUACCAGAUGGACCUGCGUUGUACUAGCUAGUUGGUGAGGUAACGGCUCACCAAGGCGACGAUACAUAGCCGACCUGAGAGGGUGAUCGGCCACACUGGGACUGAGACACGGCCCAGACUCCUACGGGAGGCAGCAGUAGGGAAUCUUCGGCAAUGGACGGAAGUCUGACCGAGCAACGCCGCGUGAGUGAAGAAGGUUUUCGGAUCGUAAAGCUCUGUUGUAAGAGAAGAACGAGUGUGAGAGUGGAAAGUUCACACUGUGACGGUAUCUUACCAGAAAGGGACGGCUAACUACGUG
rnacentral:rRNA from 1 species